rnacentral:rRNA from 1 species
UACGUAGGGUGCAAGCGUUAAUCGGAAUUACUGGGCGUAAAGCGUGCGCAGGCGGCUUUGCAAGACAGAUGUGAAAUCCCCGGGCUUAACCUGGGAACUGCAUUUGUGACUGCACAGCUGGAGUGCGGCAGAGGGGGGAUGGAAUUCCGCGUGUAGCAGUGAAAUGCGUAGAUAUGCGGAGGAACACCGAUGGCGAAGGCAAUCCCCUGGGCCUGCACUGACGCUCAUGCACGAAAGCGUGGGGAGCAAACAGG